UCUCUUGGAGCUCUAGCUCACCUCUCUAGUGUUGUUCUUGUAUUCAUCUGAUUAAUCUAGUUCUUGGGAGUUCUUUUUGAACUUCUUGUUAGAUCUCGAGUCUGUAUUUCUAUGUCCGUGACAGUUUGUCGAGACUCCACUCAUCUCAGAUAUCAGAGCUAGUUUCUUCCUCGUUAGAGUGUGGAUUAUCCCUCUGUUUGGAAGUGUACUAGCAUUUUAGAAGUUGCGGAUUACCCUCCUCUAAAUUGAUACUUCUUUUGUUACAAUAUUGGAGUCUUAUUCUUCUUGGAGAGAGUGGAUUAUGCCUUUUCUUGAAGCUCUUAAGGCAUUUUAGAGGUUGCGGAGUACCCUCCUUUAAACCAAUAUUAUCUUCUUGUAC
rnacentral:lncRNA from 1 species